rnacentral:rRNA from 1 species
UACGUAGGGGGCUAGCGUUGUCCGGAAUCAUUGGGCGUAAAGAGCGUGUAGGCGGCUAGGUAGGUCCGUUGUGAAAACUCGAGGCUCAACCUCGAGACGCCGGUGGAAACCAUCUAGCUAGAGUCCGGAAGAGGAGAGUGGAAUUCCUGGUGUAGCGGUGAAAUGCGCAGAUAUCAGGAAGAACACCCGUGGCGAAGGCGGCUCUCUGGGACGUGACUGACGCUGAGACGCGAAAGCGUGGGGAGCGAACAGG